GAUGAAGAACGUAGCGAAAUGCGAUAAGUAGUGUGAAUUGCAGAAUUCAGUGAAUCAUCGAAUCUUUGAACGCACAUUGCGCCUCCUGGCAUUCCGGGAGGCAUGCCUGUUCGAGCGUCAUUAAAAUCACUCAAGCGUAGGUUUGCCUAUUGCUUGGUCUUGAAGAUGGAAGCUAAGUAAUUAGAAUCCUCUUCGAAAUCCAAUGGCGAAGACCCUUGCUCUCCCAAGUGUAGUAAUAACUUAUUCACUGAAGGAAGCGAGUAAUCUACUGCCGUAACCCCCAUAUUUUCUAUGAUUGACCUCGGAUCAGGUAGGGAUACCCGCUGAACUUAAGCAUAUCAAUAAGCGGAGGA
rnacentral:misc_RNA from 1 species